rnacentral:lncRNA from 1 species
UGUUUUCUCUCUAAUCCGUCUUGUGUUUGUUGGUUUUUUCUGUUUCUAUUGCAUCCGUGUACUGUUUACCUGACACUGUGGUUUCUAUGAUUCUUUCGUUUGGUGCAACUCUUGAUUGCACCCCAUCUUGUUAUUCUAACUGGUUUGUUGAGUUUUUGUGAGGGCUGACAUGAAUCUUGAAGAGAUAGCUUGCUUGGUAUUCC